GGGGAAUAUUGGACAAUGGGCGAAAGCCUGAUCCAGCAAUUCUGCGUGAGUGAGGAAGGACUUCGGUCUGUAAAGCUCUGUUAAUGUGGAAAAAUGGUAGUUGGUCUAAUAGGCCGGCUAUUUGAUGGUACACAUAGAGGAAGCACCGGCUAACUUCGUGCCAGCAGCCGCGGUAAUACGAAGGGUGCAAGCGUUGUUCGGAUUUAUUGGGCGUAAAGCGCGCGUAGGCGGACCUGUAAGUCAGAUGUGAAAUCUCGGUGCUCAACACCGAAACUGCGUCUGAAACUGCGGGUCUAGAAUCUUGGAGGGGGAGUGGGAAUUUCGCAUGUAGGGGUAAAAUCCGUAGAGAUGCGAAGGAACACCAGAGGCGAAGGCGCACUCCUGGACAAGUAUUGACGCUGAGGCGCGAAAGCGUGGGGAUCAAAC
rnacentral:rRNA from 1 species